GGCUUAGAGUUUGAUCAUGGCUCAGGACGAGCGCUGGCGGCGCGCCUAACACAUGCAAGUCGAACGGAGUUGAUUUUGUUGAAGUUUUCGGAUGGAUACGAGGUUAACUUAGUGGCGAACGGGUGAGUAACGCGUGAGUAACCUGCCCCGAAGUGGGGGACAACAGUUGGAAACGACUGCUAAUACCGCAUAAGCCCACGGCACCGCAUGGUGCUGAGGGAAAAGGACUUCGGUUUGCUUCGGGAUGGACUCGCGUCCAAUUAGCUAGUUGGUGAGGUAACGGCCCACCAAGGCGACGAUUGGUAGCCGGACUGAGAGGUUGAACGGCCACAUUGGGACUGAGACACGGCCCAGACUCCUACGGGAGGCAGCAGUGGGGGAUAUUGCACAAUGGGGGAAACCCUGAUGCAGCGACGCCGCGUGGAGGAAGAAGGUUUUCGGAUUGUAAACUCCUGUCGUACGGGACGAUAAUGACGGUACCGUACAAGAAAGCCACGGCUAACUACGUGCCAGCAGCCGCGGUAAAACGUAGGUGGCAGCGUUGUCCGGAAUUACUGGGUGUAAAGGGAGCGCAGGCGGGGCGGCAAGUUGGAAGUGAAAUCUAUGGGCUCAACCCAUAAACUGCUUUCAAAACUGCUGGUCUUGAGUAGUGCAGAGGUAGGCGGAAUUCCCGGUGUAGCGGUGGAAUGCGUAGAUAUCGGGAGGAACACCAGUGGCGAAGGCGGCCUACUGGGCACCAACUGACGCUGAGGCUCGAAAGCAUGGGUAGCAAACAGGAUUAGAUACCCUGGUAGUCCAUGCCGUAAACGAUGAUUACUAGGUGUUGGAGGAUUGACCCCUUCAGUUGCCGCAGUUAACACAAUAAGUAAUC
rnacentral:rRNA from 1 species